UUAAGCACCAAAACUGUUCGUUAAUAGCAUGGGGCCAUAUGUUGCCCUCACUAAACAACACAGUGGGAAGCAAAGGAGUACAAAUACCAGUGUAAUGAAGCCAGAGUAUGCAUGCCAAAGGAGAAAAGUGAGGGCAUGCCAACUUCCAUGACAAGACCAGCAAUAGAAACUCCAUUGGACAAUGGUCAGUGACAAAUAUGGUGCAAAUAUGAUUAUGAAGAAUUAAAUUCCCAGGGGAACACUGACUUAUGGUACAACCUUCCCUAGCAAAAGCCAAACCAAGACAGCUAAGGCAGAAGGGUUAGCCUUCUCCCUCCUUGUAAGUGACAUUCCUACUAGGCAACACGAAUCAACAGGAGCACCAAUUGUGUUACCAGUGCUGGGAAGGGUUUUGAUGAUGUUGUUUAUGGGGCAUGCUUUUGAGCAAGAAUGUCUGAAGGUUAGGAAAAUGGGAUGACCAGGCUAUGCAGGACCUCUUCUGCAAGGGUUUUAUUUUUCUUUCCAAAGAAAUGUGGAAUUUCUGCCUUUGAAAGCCCAGAGAAUCUUAAUCCAAGAUCUUUUGUUUUGUUUUGUUAUUCUCUUCUGUUGGUGACCUGAAACUUCAAACUUUUCAUUGAACUUGGAGUGUAAUAUCUCAAGACAGCAGUGCUUUUUGAAAAGAGCCAAGCCACCAUGAAAUAGGAGAGCAAUGAUCUGUUCUUUUCCCUUCUGACCAGAUGAGUACAAAGCAUUUUGCUUUCUGACCAGGAGAUAGCUGAAAAGUUCAAUUCACAUGCACACACUUCAAUGCAAUUUAUUGCCUAUUACUAGAAUAUAGCGUACAAAUUGGGAUUGUCUUACAUAAUCACCCCUUUUCCAAAAGAUUUACUGUGGAGGUGAAGGAAGCGAAAAUGGCAGUGACAAGAAGAGAAAGACUGAGAUUUAAUACAUAAUAACAAUAUGCUGGUUUUCUACGACCUCACAAGUUCAGCAGAGCAUAGUUUCUACUGGGCAUUGGAUACUAUCCAGGAAAAGCUUUCUAUCCGAAAAUAUCAAAUAAUCUAAAAAUGUUAGAGACAUCUGGCACGUACACUGCCACUAUUUUCACCUUAUCAGAAAUCAAGAAUUGUCCAAGAUUACCGAAGAAGGCAGUGGCAAAACAGGGCAAUAGGGAAAACAUCUUAAUCUAGAAAAAGAGUAAAAUAUUUUCAGCCAUUACCAGCUACAUGGUUUUGUAUCUAGUGUUUGAAUAUCACUGAGCUGGAAAGCCUAGGGUCUAAAUAGACUGGUUUAAUAAAUUUUCUGUGUGACAACCGUC